rnacentral:lncRNA from 1 species
UCAUCAGCAGGGACUCUGCGGCAACUCACCUGCUUUCUGCUCCAAGAGUCCAGCACCCUGAGAUCCUGAUGCCAGGGUAACAGCUCUGUCAUCUAUGGCUCAAACGUCACUCACCAGGGAGUUGCUGCAGACCUGUAUGUAUCCUUAUCAGAGAAAUAGANGCUAUUGAGAACCUAAGCCGGUGCCUCAUGGAUAAGGAAACUCCAUGGAAGUUAGAGCUGCCCUGUAAUUUGCAUCCCCCAUAUCUUAGAAACCAGAAUGAAAGGUCUACAGCAGAGACUGAAGAGAGGAAGGCUCAUCACUUGGACCACCAAAGAACUAAGAAAGGUCUCAAGAUCCCUCUGCUAUGGUUAAAUCUAGUCAAGCAACCCAUCCCAGCAAGAGGCAGGAGGCGGUUCAGAGAGUCAUCAAAGCCAUUUUCACAAGGUAGACAUAGGACUGGGGGAAUUAAAGGUUUUCAUGGCCUCACUUGCCAACCUGCCCC